AGGCAGGGUGUGAAAUUGAAGCGGGGAUGCUGUGGAUUCGCUGUGAUGAUUUUCAGCUGAAAGAUUAUGUAUGGCAUUCCACUGGAAGUUUUGAGUGUUGAUCAUGUCAAUAAGGUCUGGCAACGACUGCAUGCCAGAGCAUGGUCUUAGAUAUCGUCAGCAAAGAGUGUGAGCUCCCCACGGAAGAAAGUGUUCAUCUGAAGAGCUUUCUGUGGAAACCUGGCUGCUCAGCCUUUGCGGGCUCACGCUAGUCUCUCCAGGGAGACCCCGAGUCCUGACCCUUCUUGUUGCUCUCCUGGCACUGCCACGAGGGAUCCCAGUCUGCCAGGAGCAGUGACACCACUGACUGUGCUGUGCUACUUGCCAGCCCAAACUGACUGCUGCCCCAAGGACAGACAAUGUUCUGCCCCCCUCCAGGCAGGCAGGUGGGUGGUAUCAUUAGAUUUUGAUGCCUUUGUAUUGAUACACUGUGUUGUUAUGUUCUUAAUAUAUAUGUGCAGUAUUUCAUUGUUUGCAUGACUUU